rnacentral:tRNA from 1 species
AGGGUUAUAGUUAAUUAUAACAUUUGGGUUGCAUUCAAAAAGUGUUGGAUAUCAUUCAACUUACCUUA